rnacentral:rRNA from 1 species
AGAGUUGAUCCUGGCUCAGAUUGAACGCUGGCGGCAGGCCUAACACAUGCAAGUCGAGCGGAUGAAGAGAGCUUGCUCUCUGAUUCAGCGGCGGACGGGUGAGUAAUGCCUAGGAAUCUGCCUAUUAGUGGGGGACAACGUUUCGAAAGGAACGCUAAUACCGCAUACGUCCUACGGGAGAAAGCAGGGGACCUUCGGGCCUUGCGCUAAUAGAUGAGCCUAGGUCGGAUUAGCUAGUUGGUGAGGUAAAGGCUCACCAAGGCGACGAUCCGUAACUGGUCUGAGAGGAUGAUCAGUCACACCGGAACUGAGACACGGUCCAGACUCCUACGGGAGGCAGCAGUGGGGAAUAUUGGRCAAUGGGCGARAGCCUGSAUCCAGCCAUGCCGCGUGUGUGAAGAAGGUCUUCGGAUUGUGAAGCACUUURAGYYGGGAGGAAGGGCAGUAAGUUAAUACCUUGCUGUUUUGACGUUACCGACAGAAUAAGCACCGGCUAACUUCGUGCCAGCAGCCGCGGUAAUACGAAGGUGCAAGCGUUAAUCGGDAUUACUGGGCGUAAAGCGCGCGUAAGUGGUUCGUURAGUUGGAUGUGAAGCCCCCGGGGCUCAACCUGGGSAGUGCAUCCAAAACUGGCGAGCUAGAGUAUGGCAGAGGGUGGUGGAAUUUCCUGUGUARCGGUGAAAUGCGUAGAUAUAGGAAGGGACACCAGUGGCGAAGGGGRACGCCUGGGCUAGAG